CGGUGAGCCGGUUGUACCGCCAGGUGCACGGCCGGGUAGCCGCGUCCGGGAAGGAUAAGCGCUGAAAGCAUCUAAGCGCGAAGCCCUCCCCAAGAUAAGAUCUCCCUGAGGGCCGUCGGAGACGACGACGUAGAUAGGCCGCAGGUGUAAAGCCGGCGACGGCAAAGCCGAGCGGUACUAAUAGCCCGGAGCUUUCCUGGA
rnacentral:rRNA from 1 species